rnacentral:rRNA from 1 species
GAUGAACGCUGGCGGUAUGCUUAACACAUGCAAGUCGAACGGACUCUUCGGAGUUAGUGGCGGACGGGUGAGUAACGCGUGAGAAUCUGGCUUUGGGUUCGGGACAACCACUGGAAACGGUGGCUAAUACCGGAUGUGCCGAGAGGUAAAAGAGAAAUUGCCUGAAGAUGGGCUCGCGUCUGAUUAGCUAGUUGGUGAGGUAAAGGCUCACCAAGGCAGCGAUCAGUAGCUGGUCUGAGAGGAUGACCAGCCACACUGGGACUGAGACACGGCCCAGACUCCUACGGGAGGCAGCAGUGGGGAAUUUUCCGCAAUGGGCGAAAGCCUGACGGAGCAAUACCGCGUGAGGGAAGAAGGCUCUUGGGUUGUAAACCUCUUUUCUUAGGGAAGAACAAAAUGACGGUACCUAAGGAAUCAGCAUCGGCUAACUCCGUG